CGUCCACCCUGGGAUCCGAGCGCAGAGUCAACCUUCCCCGGCGGCGGCGCUCCAUUCAAUCUGCAAGAGAGAGAGAGAUCGAGACCGAGAGAGAGAGAGGAUGAGAGGGAGAAGAAGGAAAGAGAGGAGGGAGAAAGAGAGAGGAAAGAGGAGAGGGAGGCGUGGCGUCGGAUGGGAGAGGGUGACCGCCGGCGUCCGCCUGCACCGACGAGGUCGGGUCCUCGAGCCAUGGAGGCACUCAUCGCUGGUCCCUCGCCGUUGGCCUCCCGUGCGUCACACCACCCCUCCUGCCGCCUCGGCUCUCUCCUCCCGCCUCGGCAGAUUGGAUGGAGGGUGCUACGCCUCCGUCGCCGACUGGAUUUGCUCCUCCAUCGCCGCCGCGAGUCAACUCCACCGUUGUCGCCAGGAAUCCGUCCCCCUGCUGCAGCCUGCUCGUCUUCCGGUUGGUGCAGUCGGCAUCGCGGCCCUGCAGAGGGCGUUGAAUAGGGUUUGGGUGGGGUUGACUCCUAUAACGAUGGCUGGCUACAUCAACCAGCAGCUGCACCUCCUUCGACUUCCACAAUAUCGCCCACCGAGCUGCGUUGCUGUACGAAGACCUUCUGUAUUUCGGUGGUGCCAUGGUGUUCCUCUCAAGGUUAAUGAGUGUGCUCCCAGCGGCUCCAGUGAUGCGGGGUGAUUGCGCCCGGUCCAUGCUCCGGUGUCUUUGUUGGCUGAGCUGAACAAGCUACAGAGAGUGGCUUCUUUCGAGCUGGUAUAUUGAGAUAUUUAUGCACUCAUAGGUCACACCUCAUGAAGCUACUACCGUGCAUUGAUUCUGUCGAGAUUGAUUAAAAGAACAUUUUAUUAGUUUCCUAUUGCCAUUUCCCAUGAAACAUGAUGAUUAUGUUCAGUGAGGUUCUCAAUUUAAUAGUCUGAAUGCGCAUAUGUUCGAUAUUAAAUUUGAUAACAAAGACCAAUAGUUUUUGGCCCUUUGCAUGGGGUAUUCCUUUCUUUGAGAAACAUUUUUGACUAAAGCUUCUUCGAUGCCCCAUGGACGCUCAGGUUUGCUUUCAUAGAUGCAGCAAAUAUCUAAAAUGUAUUGCAGUUCAUGAGUUAUUUAGCAAUGAUAAAAUGUUCUCUAUCGUUAUUUGCUUUUAGUAUGUAAUAAGCUCCCCGGGUAGUGGUGGAUCUUUAUAUUAGCACAUGACUGAGCAGUUCGACAACGUUUAUAAUUUAUCGUUGUCAAGUCAGCCUUUGCGUGAUUCAAAAAGAACACACGGACUGCUGCACGCUACUAAAUUAUUUUUUAGCUGGGGUUGUUCAAUAGGAUUUAGAUUUUAAGCAGAAUAGGAUACAGAUCAGCGGUCCAUGUUUACAGACACUGGCAUAAGAAUUUGUUGUGCGGCAAGGAUUUGUACAGAUUUAAAGGGGAAUUAGUAGCUAACAUCUUCGUAACGGCACAUUGUUCCAUGAUUCUUCUUGUAAGAUACUAAGAUCUCUUGAUGAUGCUUUGUUUGAUGUUCUGUGUGGAAGUUAUUUGCAUUGCACUUCAGUUCAGAACAUGGAGGCUAAGAGGCUCACCAAUUGGUGCCUAUUUCUUGUGUUUAUGCAAAUGGUAUCCUGUAAUGAAUACCUUGAGCUAUACGAUUCCUAUUGGCAGACUUCAUAUAGCUAUUGUCUAAUACGCAUUAGUAUGUAUGAUUUAUCAGUCCGGUUGCAAACUUCUCGUGCGAUAACCUUCUUUUUAUCAGUUCAGUUUAACUAUAUUUUAGAAAAGAACAUCCUUACCAAGCCUGCACAUUUUAAGGUCGUGAGGCUUCAGUUUACUCUGUUUGCCUCACUACAGGAGAACAUUCAGGUACUUAUUGAACGAUUUCACCUCUGCUAUUCCCAAGAUAUGCUCUGCCAUUUUGUACUGGCACUGUACUAAUUAUUCUGGCUGUUAUCCAUGUUACUGUCAUUUAUCAUGAUAAAAGUCGACUCACAGCUGUGCCAGGUUAAGUUAGUUCAAUUUUGAUAUGCCUAGAGUUUAGAUGUUGGGCUAUAAUUUUGAUAUGCUUUUGGUUAUGUAGUUGCAGAAAAAACAAAUUACAGCCAUAUUUUGUAGCGAUCAUAUUAUUGUGAUGCUGGUUCUCAAAUUUAUGCGGGUACUUCUCGUGUUUUGUUAAUAGCUCACCAGUUUCAUUCCCUUUUGGUUUUUUAAUAUACAUCCGUGCCCCUCUUUUAUAUCUUCUUGGUUAUUUCUUAUCUUUUUAGUUCUCAUUUGUACAUAAGUAAUACUAGCAUCAGUCUGUGUGUUCUUACAUAACAGUUAGUCUCUAAGCUACCGAUUCAGUACCAAGCUUACGUUGUAUUAUCUUUUAGGCUGAAAGCAAAAGGCAAAAACAAUGAACAAUGUAAAAGCCCUCAACACUGAAGUACAGUCUAAGAAGAAAAUUACAAGGAAGAAAAUGAAAAAGCAGCAAAAAUCUGAUAAUAUGCAAAAUCCCAUUUAGAGUAUGAACCAUAGUGAAAAAUGAUUCAGUUUAGUUAUUAAAAGUUCUUUACAUGCAGAUCACUUUCUACAUGUUUCUGCAAUUCUCUCCUAUUAUAUGGUUUGGUGUUUGUCCCGGUGUGCCGUGUUUGGUAUCCCAUUUCAUCAUCUUUAAGUCGAAUGGACACUAUUUUGUUUAUCAAUCACUUUUGAACUACUAUUCUUUCAGCACUUCUUUUAUACAUAAAAAAACUUAACUGGAAUUUAAGAAAGUUGACACUGCAUCUCUGGUUCGUUCAAUGAAAUUUUCUGCUCUCCAAUUUAACUGUCUAUGGCUGAUUGUAAUAGUGAAGGUCGAUAUUCUGAUUUCUAAUAGAAUAUACAUCUUAGUUUUCCUCUAUCUAUGUAGAGGGCUCAAGAAAGAGACAAGAACUUGUGCUUCAAGCAGCGAAGAUAGCCAGCCUAAAUGAAUCGAAACAAGAACAAGCAUCGGGAAAUUACAGAUGAGGAACUGCAGCUGGUAUGGUCACUUCCUUUUUGCCCCAAAUCAACCACAGAAAAAUCUGCUUGACAAUCAUCUUCUUGCCAAUUUAUAAUUGAAUUCCUACUAUGUUUCGCUUCCUAAAAGAAAUAGCAAUCAUCUUGAAAAAAGUAAUUUAUCUAGCUACAAAUGCUUAUUCUAUACUGAUUAUGUUGCCUCCAAUUGCGGACAGUGGUUUAUAGUUGACACUUUAGUCUACAUGUCUGCUAAUAUUUACAUGUCUGCAUGACCAAAAAAAUCAGAUAGUCUACUUAAACUUUAGUGAUGGGCAGUUAUUCUACUUCUUUUGGCUAGAUGUUCAGCAAGGGUCGCACAUCUGAAACAAGUAACUGGCUUGCUUUUGGUACACGUUCCCUGUAUAUAACUCGUUUUUCUAUUUCUUGAGGACAACACCAUAUAGAGCUUUUAGAGGCUGGUCCUGGUUUUAGAUACAAAGCGCCUGAUUGUUCUCUGUAAAUUUAUUCUGCUCCUUACAUGAGGGUCUGUGCUACUUUCAACUCGAAUGCAGAUUUUACUGUACAAUGUAAAUUAAAUCGUUCGUUUCUACUGCAUGUUAAAGGAGCUGGCCAAUAUUGGCAUGAAGCUAUAAAAGCUAGCUGGCUAUGGAGAAUUUUGCCACUGGUGAUGAAUUGCCACCUUUUCCUUGCUUGCCAUCAUGCCAUGAUUCGAAAUUUAGUUGUCAGGCUAGGUAAAGCACGCUGAGACUACCAAAAAGGAUUACGUGCGCUGCCAUCAUGCAUUUGCACCUCUAAACUUAGUUUGUUGACUAAAUUGUGUAGUUCCCUUUUGCCGAAGAAUGUUCUGGACUAGAUAGCCAGCUUGCUGUUGCUGUUUCUAAGUUUUCAGUAGGACUCUUUUGUUAAAGCGAAAACCACAUAUAUGUAAUGUGCGCGGUGGUUUGUAGGACUUCAUAGGUGUUGUACUAAAAUUCAGUUUUAAUGGAGUUCGGUUCAGUGAUGUUCUAGACUUGAUAUCAUUCAAAAAAUGGCCACACGUGGAUGUAGGGUCAUAAAAGAGUCAGGGAAGAGGGAGGUACCUUGGUAGAUUGCCCAGGGGCAUUGGCAAUGUAAGCGACAGGGCACCCCUCUGCCUGCCUUGCUCAUUCACACUUCUUUUUUGUUUGGGGAGGGGCGGGUUGCAAUCUGGGCCAGGCGGGACACUGGAAACUGUGAGCAAAAGUUAAUCCGACCUGAGCUCCAAAUGAAAUUAGAUGAUUUUUUUUCCAAAACUACUGUAUGAAGCGAAAACAAGUAUGUACAUGAGUCAACCAGACAAUGGACAAAAAUCCGGCCUGAACCGAAAUAAAAAAUAGAUAUCUGUUGAUUAGACACUCCAAUAAUACAUGCGAGGAAUGUGUUUUCAUAUUGUUCAUUUUGUGGAUAUUUGAUAUAAGCGUAAUUGUAUCCCGAUAUUUGGCUUGGUACUCCAUUGUAUAACUAAUAUAACUGAGUUUCAGAGAAGGUCAGACUAUGCCUUGUCUACUGGUGAUGCUUAUAUCGGUUGUAUAGGCUAAUAUAGGUCUUGCAAUGUGCAUGUCAGGGACAGAAGUUGCUAAAGAAAGCUCCGACAUUAUAAUCUUAAGAUGAUGACUUCACAUCUAUUGUGAAGGUUAGUGUCUUCUACGUUUUUUUGGAACAGAUCUUUGUUAUGAAGGAUAACCAUUCUCACCAAUCAUGAUGGGAGUUUUUUAUCGGAUGUACAGGGUCAUUGGAAUGGACCAAGGUAUGAAUGUUCCUGAAAUGCGAUACUAGAAUCUUUGUACGUCAACACUCUUUGAUGCUUAUCUUGAUGAUCUUUCCUCUGUUCUACAUACAUUUGUGUUGUUAACUCACUUUCAUGUUCUUGAUUGGCAUGUAAUCAUCUUAGAAAAAGUUAUUUGAGCUGAGGGCGUUGAAUAGAGUAAUAAAAGCUGCUUCCUUGGAGAGUUUUUUGUGCAGAGUGGUGCAUGCAUAAUAUUAUCCUCAUUAUGUUCUCUUUGCAUGUUCUAUUGUAGGAAGCGGAUGUUAUCAAGAUCAUCCCAAGGGCAGAGCGUGCCAACGGCGAUGCUCAUUCCCGUUCUUAGUGAAAUGCGUUUACUCGAUGCAAAGUAUGAGCAUUGCAGACUCUCGCGAGCUGCUGAAGGUCGACGAGGAGGGCGCCGCCACCACCGUCAUCAGGCUGGUCCACAUCCACGCGCUGCUCGGCGUCACCAGGUCACCGGCACAACUCCUCACGCCCAGGUCGUUCAACAUUUUCUUCCGCUUUUGGUGUGUCACAUUUAGAGUCUUUCUUUCCCAUUUUACCGUGUUUGCAUGGUAAGAUGUUUGGUUGGAUUUGAAGGUUUGUAGACUUGGCUCCAAAGCUUCAAGCUCUUGUAGAAAUUAGAACUGAGGGCCUUUUAAAAUGAGUCCUGCAUAAUAGUGUUGUUCAGUGGGAUGCAGAAUUUUUGUUUGUACUGAUUUACGUACUGAUUUCAUCAUCAUAUGACUAUAAUGAAGAAGCUGUGUGUAUAAGUAUUACUAACUGAUGAUACCCUGCAUCAGUGAUUUCAAUUCUGUUGGCCCUCCUUCAGAUUGCAUGGGAAUGUGAGGCUUAAAAGUUUCAACCCUGUGCAAUGUGCUUCUCGGGUGUGGAUUUGUGUCUGACUAAUUAACGGUUCUGUUAAUACUGAUAUGUCCUUGUACAUUAAAUGGGUAUUGCAUUGCUUGUACUUAUAGUAAGUGAAAAAAAUUCUCAUAUGUUUCAAUAUGUGCCCGAAUAAUAUUAAUGUACACUCUUUCAAUACAUGGCUUACUCUUGGCCUUUACGCCAUUGGCGCAACUGGUCAUCUAGUACUAUUAAAACUGUAAGGAAACAAUUCUGUUACUAGCUUUCGUAAGGAACACAUGGUUAGAAAAAUACCCCCGAGAAAAAAGAUGUACCCUACCAUCUUACAAUAUUCUAAAAAAAAUAUCAAUAUUUUCCUGGUGCUUUGAUUCCCCAUUUUGAUCUCCUUGCUCCUUGCGCUAUUUUCAAAUUCCUUUGAAGGGAUUUCCCCUCGGUAUGUGACUCCUCCAUUUAUCCAGGUAGUUUUUUAAUAAUGCUCUACAUCAUUCUAUUUUUGCUACUACUGGUGACAUGGAAAAUGAGCUGGCAUGUUGAUUUUAGUUUUUUGUAUGUAGCUUUGAUGCAUGAUAUAAUCACUAUAUGCUUAGUAGUGGAGUUUCUCACAAUUUUUAUGUGCAAAUUUCACUUUCUAUGAGAUUUUUAGAAAAUUCAUAAUAUGAAGAGGAUAGCAAAGAACUUUGUGAAAUUUGUUUUUCUUCCCACAACAAGGAAGACAAAGGGCUUCUUCCUCUUGUAAAGAAAGAGAAGGAUGAGACUAAGGAAACUACCGUCCCCUAGAUCCAUUUGCUGUCUCUCUCUCUCUCUCCAACAUUUUUUUAUGUAGCCAAUUUUAACGGUAUGGAAAGUGUUUUUUCCGUAGGUGUGCCAACCACAUGUCAUUGAUAUAUUCUUUCUUUAUUGUUGCAUUAUCGUUACCAAGGAAGGUUUCAAAUGGCGGGGGGAAUGGGGAUUUCUAGUAGUCAUGUCUCAGCUUGCUCUUGACAUUGCAUUGUUUCAAUUUGAUAUUAAUAAUGAAAAAAAAAGAAAAUACCCUCACGAAUCUCCACAUAAGAUCAACGACAGAGCACUUAGAUGUGCAAUACUUACGAUACAUCUAGAUGUGCUUUAGCCAAACUAAUUAAAUAUAUUAUCUUAUAAAGAAAAAGUAAUAGUGCUCGAACAGUAAACUUGCAUCAGUUUCCAUGCGUAACUAUCACAUUUCAAUAAAAUGUGACAAAAAAUGACAAUGGUGUUUGAGUAACAACAGAAAAGGGCACAUGAAUGAACUGUGCAGUUGGAUAAAUAAAAUUGCGGCCCCUUAUUUGACUACACAAUCACACAAGUGUG